GGGGCCGAGUUGGAUUUGACAGCGUGUAAAACAGGUAUGUAAGCAUGUCGAGCGUGGUGAUUUGGCUCGUUAAUCCCAGGUCAUACACUUAUAAUUGGCAAUAACAAUUAUGCUCUCGCUGCGUAAUUUUACUCAGUAAAAUUCGCUUCAUCCCGGUAUUAGAUACCGGGACGGGACAUCUCCGGAAACUUUGUUCCCUAUCGGGUUUCCAACAGGAGGUGCAGUUAGAACGGGAUAGCCACCGGAGGAGUUCCGACUCCGGGGCGAAACACCAGGAACUAAGGUGUUGAUCGGUCGUCUUUCGCCUGUCAACUCCCUACAACCAAGGAAAGACUAAGCAUGUAGAAGGCAUAUUGGUUUCUCGUUUGGACCGGGGUUCGAUCCCCCGCGGCUCCACUU
rnacentral:tmRNA from 1 species